GGGCCCGCACAAGCGGUGGAGCAUGUGGUUUAAUUCGAUGAUACGCGAGGAACCUUACCAGGGCUUAAAUGGAAAAUGACAGGGGCAGAGACGCCCCCUUCUUCGGACAUUUUUCAAGGUGCUGCAUGGUUGUCGUCAGCUCGUGCCGUGAGGUGUCAGGUUAAGUCCUAUAACGAGCGCAACCCCUACCGUUAGUUGCCAGCGAGUAAUGUCGGGGACUCUAACGGAACUGCCGGUGCAAACCGUGAGGAAGGUGGGGACGACGUCAAAUCAUCACGGCCCUUACGUCCUGGCCACACACGUGCUACAAUGGUAGUGACAGAGGGCAGCCACUGGGUGACCAGGAGCG
rnacentral:rRNA from 1 species